GCAUGUUCACAUGAUUAAAGGUAUUCCGGUAGACGAUGGGGAUGCGUUCCAUUAGAUAGUAGGCGGGGUAACGGCCCACCUAGUCUUCGAUGGAUAGGGGUUCUGAGAGGAAGGUCCCCCACAUUGGAACUGAGACACGGUCCAAACUCCUACGGGAGGCAGCAGUGAGGAAUAUUGGUCAAUGGGCGAGAGCCUGAACCAGCCAAGUAGCGUGAAGGAUGACUGCCCUAUGGGUUGUAAACUUCUUUUAUAAAGGAAUAAAGUCGGGUAUGCAUACCCGUUUGCAUGUACUUUAUGAAUAAGGAUCGGCUAACUCCGUGCCAGCAGCCGCGGUAAUACGGAGGAUCCGAGCGUUAUCCGGAUUUAUUGGGUUUAAAGGGAGCGUAGAUGGAUGUUUAAGUCAGUUGUGAAAGUUUGCGGCUCAACCGUAAAAUUGCAGUUGAUACUGGAUAUCUUGAGUGCAGUUGAGGCAGGCGGAAUUCGUGGUGUAGCGGUGAAAUGCUUAGAUAUCACGAAGAACUCCGAUUGCGAAGGCAGCCUGCUAAGCUGCAACUGGCAUUGAGGCUCGAAAGUGUGGGUAUCAAACAGGAUUAGAUACCCUGGUAGUCCACACGGUAAACGAUGAAUACUCGCUGUUUGCGAUAUACAGCAAGCGGCC
rnacentral:rRNA from 1 species